rnacentral:rRNA from 1 species
UACGAAGGGGACUAGCGUUGUUCGGAAUUACUGGGCGUAAAGCGCACGUAGGCGGAUUUGUAAGUCAGGGGUGAAAUCCCGGGGCUCAACCUCGGAACUGCCUUCGAUACUGAGAGUCUCGAGUCCGGGAGAGGUGAGUGGAACUGCGAGUGUAGAGGUGAAAUUCGUAGAUAUUCGCAAGAACACCAGUGGCGAAGGCGGCUCACUGGCCCGGUACUGACGCUGAGGUGCGAAAGCGUGGGGAGCAAACAGG